UUUGAUCCUGGCUCAGGACGAACGCUGGCGGCGUGCCUAACACAUGCAAGUCGAGCGGAGAUGCCAAGGAGCAAUCCAAGGUGUCUUAGCGGCGGACGGGUGAGUAACACGUGGGUAACCUACCCCAAGGAGGGGGAUAACAGGUCGAAAGGCCUGCUAAUACCGCAUAAAGCUUGUGUAUCGCAUGAUGCAUAAGCCAAAGGAGGAAUCCGCCUUGGGAUGGGCCCGCGGCCCAUUAGCUAGUUGGUGAGGUAACGGCUCACCAAGGCGACGAUGGGUAGCCGGCCUGAGAGGGUGGUCGGCCACACUGGGACUGAGACACGGCCCAGACUCCUACGGGAGGCAGCAGUGGGGAAUAUUGCGCAAUGGGGGAAACCCUGACGCAGCGACGCCGCGUGAGCGAAGAAGGCCUUCGGGUUGUAAAGCUCUGUCUUCCCUGACGAAGUAAGUGACGGUAAGGGAGGAGGAAGCCACGGCUAACUACGUGCCAGCAGCCGCGGUAAUACGUAGGUGGCGAGCGUUGUCCGGAAUUACUGGGCGUAAAGGGUGCGUAGGCGGCUCCUUAAGUGAGGUGUGAAAUCCCUGGGCUCAACCCAGGAACUGCACUUCAAACUGGGGAGCUAGAGUGCAGGAGAGGAAAGCGGAAUUCCCGGUGUAGCGGUGAAAUGCGUAGAGAUCGGGAGGAACACCAGUGGCGAAGGCGGCUUUCUGGACUGUAACUGACGCUGAGGCACGAAAGCGUGGGGAGCAAACA
rnacentral:rRNA from 1 species